rnacentral:rRNA from 1 species
GAAUAUUGGACAAUGGGCGCAAGCCUGAUCCAGCCAUGCCGCGUGCAGGAUGACGGUCCUAUGGAUUGUAAACUGCUUUUAUACAGGAAGAAACCCCUUCUCGUGAGAAGGAUUGACGGUACUGUAGGAAUAAGGAUCGGCUAACUCCGUGCCAGCAGCCGCGGUAAUACGGAGGAUCCAAGCGUUAUCCGGAAUCAUUGGGUUUAAAGGGUCCGUAGGCGGUUUUAUAAGUCAGUGGUGAAAUCCGGCAGCUCAACUGUCGAACUGCCAUUGAUACUGUAGAACUUGAAUUAUUGUGAAGUAACUAGAAUAUGUAGUGUAGCGGUGAAAUGCUUAGAGAUUACAUGGAAUACCAAUUGCGAAGGCAGGUUACUAACAAUCAAUUGACGCUGAUGGACGAAAGCGUGGGUAGCGAACAGG